GACGAACGCUGACGGCGUGCUUAACACAUGCAAGUCGAAGGGAGUGGCGAACGGGUGAGUAACACGUGAGUAACCUGCUCUUUUCUUUGGGAUAAGCCUGGGAAACCGGGUCUAAUAAUGGAUGGAUUGGGAUGGGCUGGCGGCCUAUCAGCUUGUUGGUGGGGUGAUGGCUUACCACGGCUUGGACGGUUAGCGGGCUUGAGCGGGUUGUCGAGCACAGUGGGACUGUGUUGCGGCCCAGACUCCUACGGGAGGCAGCAGGGGGGGAUAGUGCAGAGUGGAGGAAAGUCUCAUGCAGCUACGUCGUGUGGGGGAUGAGGGCCUUCGGGUUGUAGACUCCUUUCGCACGCGGAAUGGUAGUGGGUAAAGAAGCGCCGGCUAACUACGUGCCAGCCGCCGCGGUAAUUC
rnacentral:rRNA from 1 species